AUGCCACGAUGGGCUUCCUGUUUCCACCGAGUUUCCUUGGAGCAGCACCUGUGGAGCCGAGGUCCAGAGGCGAGGGAGCGGGCACAGUCUGUGCCCAGGUCGUCUGAGAUGUGUCAGCGUUCACUCCUGGCUGGAGGGACGGAUGCUGAGUCUCAGCUAGACGUCACAAGCUCUGGGGUCCGAGGCAAGGCUGGCACGGCUCCACGUGCUUCAGAGUUUGAAGGGGGUCAAAUACCGGCAAGAAAGAACCACGAGGAUUACGAGAGAGGAUGGACUGAUGCUCAGCAAGAGUGCUCAGUGCCCAGGGGGCUGCUCCUCCUUCUCCUGGCCUUCCCCACAGCAAACACACCCACCCCGUCAGUGAAAUUCAGCUCCGGGAGAUGAGGUGCUCUCCAGGGCCCCAGGGUCAGAUCUUUAAGCCUGCUGUUUGUGUGACUGGCUUCUGCAGGGCAAAGGCCGCCCUGAGAUGAUGGGAGCGUCGGACAAGCACUAGAGUCGGGCUCCGAGGCAGAGGGAACAAGUGCUGGCAGUCUGGGCCUCCCGCUCUCCUCCCAGGGCUCCGGGGCAUCCGUCCCCCAGGUGGCCGCCCUUUCUCACCUGGCUGACUGUGAUGGCCAUUGACAUGGCUGAUAACCGGAGGCACGACAGUAACUCCUUCAGAAAGGGGCCCCCUCAUCCAGUCACCGGAACAGCUGACAUCUGUCACGGCCUCUGAGCUUCAAGCUGACACACGGCAGCCACCAGGAGAUUAAACAGUAACAAGUAGCACUGUGUGCUUGCAGAGGACGUCACAGUUACAGGGGACUUCACAGUUUAGAGGGAACUUUACAGUUACAGAUCGCUCUGACACGCAUGAUCAGUGAAACACUGUGACUGCAGCCAGCGCUUCCCAAACAGCACUGCGAGAACCUGUCAGUGCUGCUCUGGGGAAGAGAGUGAUAAGGACCUGGCAUUGCCUGGUUCUUCGGGGCCUACAGACCGCCCCUGGCUCCCAGGAGCAUGAGUCCCUUACAAGGUUUGCCUGGCGCUCACACCCUGCUCUGCCCAUAAGGGUCACCUGGCGAGUGCUCCUGGCAGGGACCAGACACAGGAUUUCUUGGG
rnacentral:lncRNA from 1 species